UUUGUCUUGGACCUGCGUGCCUCGGCCUGAUCAGCCAACUGCUUCUUGUGAGCUUUGUCUGCCUUCAGUUUUUGAAUGUACUCCAUGAGGAUACGUUUGUUCUUAAACAGAUUACCCUUCACUUUCAGGUAAAGGCUGUGGCACAUGUGCCUGUCGAUCUUCUUAGAUUCAUGGUAAUGACUGAGCAGACGACGCAAGAUUCUCAUUCUCCUUCCCCAGGAAAGUUUCUCACACAUACUGGCAUUGGCCGUACCCUUUCUCUUACCGACACCUAUGUGUCUGCCCUUUCUACGUGCAAGGGUGUUCUUGCAACAGCGAGCACGAGAGUGGACAGUCACAGGCUUGCGGAUGAUCAGACCAUCUUUAACCAACUUUUGGAUCUGCUGACAAGAGUUUGCAUUGGCAAUUUCAUUGGUCUAAUUGUGAUCCAGCCAUACUUUCCUCUUGCCACAACACAUCAAGCUGUAGGCGAGCCUCUACUGCAGUCUGAGCAUGCUCAUGGCGGCUGCUCGGCUUCAGCUCGGA